AAGUGUUAGUCUCUGCACAUUGAUUCUCUGAUUGUUUGAAUGAUGAAGUCUCUGCACAGUCUCUGAUUGACUGAAUGAGCUCUGCAGUCACAAUAAUGAAGUUCAUGGGAAGAUAUGAUUUGUAAUAAAAGAAUGUAAUAUUUUGAGUUGAUUUUACCUAUUCUGUGAAGAUCAUAGCAUGUUAACAGCAUUCCAAACAGGGCAUGUCAAAGGCAUUAACAGUGACAAAAGACAAAAGUUCAACAAAUUCUACGCAUGAAUCAUCCAGUAGGUACUGGCUUCGAGAACAGUUAAAAUGAAGAUGCACAAGAAAUCGUAAUUUCCCAAUGACAUGACAUGGCUGUCGCAAUGCUUAGCCGCAAUCACCUCUUUUUGUAGUUUAAAUGGUAAGUAGUUUUUGAAAUUAUCCGAUAAAAAUCUAAAAUUGAUACCAUAUGAAAGACCAAUCAAUUCUACACAUGAAUCAGGGUGUAUCUUUGAGAAAAACUUGAAAGUUUAGGUGUGA